rnacentral:rRNA from 1 species
UGCCAGCAGCCGCGGUAACACGGGGGGCGCAAGUGUUAUUCGGAAUUAUUGGGCGUAAAGGGCACGUAGGCGGUCUUGUCAGUCAGGUGUGAAAGCCCGGGGCUCAACCCCGGACGUGCAUUUGAAACAGCAAGACUUGAGUACGGGAGAGGAGAGAGGAAUUCCUGGUGUAGAGGUGAAAUUCGUAGAUAUCAGGAGGAACACCGGAGGCGAAGGCGGCCACCUGGACCGGUACUGACGCUGAGGCGCGAAAGCGUGGGGAGCAAACAGGAUUAGAUA